rnacentral:rRNA from 1 species
UACAGAGGUCCCAAGCGUUGUUCGGAUUCACUGGGCGUAAAGGGUGCGCAGGUGGGUUGGCAAGUUCGAUGUGAAAGCCCCGGGCUUAACCCGGGAAUGGCAUUGGAAACUGCUGAUCUGGAGGAUCGGAGGGGGGACUGGAAUUCUUGGUGUAGCAGUGAAAUGCGUAGAUAUCGAGAGGAACACCAGUGGCGAAGGCGAGUCCCUGGACGAUACCUGACACUGAGGCACGAAAGCCAAGGGAGCAAACAGG